rnacentral:rRNA from 1 species
AUAGGGGAGCCGCAGGGAAACCGAGUCUUAACCGGGCGUUAAGUUGCAGGGUAUAGACCCGAAACCCGGUGAUCUAGCCAUGGGCAGGUUGAAGGUUGGGUAACACUAACUGGAGGACCGAACCGACUAAUGUUGAAAAAUUAGCGGAUGACCUGUGGCUGGGGGUGAAAGGCCAAUCAAACCGGGAGAUAGCUGGUUCUCCCCGAAAGCUAUUUAGGUAGCGCCUCGUGAACUCAUCUUCGGGGGUAGAGCACUGUUUCGGCUAGGGGGUCAUCCCGACUUACCAACCCGAUGCAAACUGCGAAUACCGGAGAAUGUUAUCACGGGAGACACACGGCGGGUGCUAACGUCCGUCGUGAAGAGGGAAACAACCCAGACCGCCAGCUAAGGUCCCAAAGUCAUGGUUAAGUGGGAAACGAUGUGGGAAGGCCCAGACAGCCAGGAUGUUGGCUUAGAAGCAGCCAUCAUUUAAAGAAAGCGUAAUAGCUCACUGGUCGAGUCGGCCUGCGCGGAAGAUGUAACGGGGCUAAACCAUGCACCGAAGCUGCGGCAGCGACGCUUAUGCGUUGUUGGGUAGGGGAGCGUUCUGUAAGCCGUUGAAGGUGGCCUGUGAGGGUUGCUGGAGGUAUCAGAAGUGCGAAUGCUGACAUAAGUAACGAUAAAGCGGGUGAAAAGCCCGCUCGCCGGAAGACCAAGGGUUCCUGUCCAACGUUAAUCGGGGCAGGGUGAGUCGACCCCUAAGGCGAGGCCGAAAGGCGUAGUCGAUGGGAAACAGGUUAAUAUUCCUGUACUCGGUGUUACUGCGAAGGGGGGACGGAGAAGGCUAUGUUGGCCGGGCGACGGUUGUCCCGGUUUAAGCAUGUAGGCGGGUGUUCCAGGUAAAUCCGGAACGCUGUUAACGCUGAGGUGUGAUGACGAGGCACUACGGUGCUGAAGCAACAAAUGCCCUGCUUCCAGGAAAAGCCUCUAAGCAUCAGGUAACAUCAAAUCGUACCCCAAACCGACACAGGUGGUCAGGUAGAGAAUACCAAGGCGCUUGAGAGAACUCGGGUGAAGGAACUAGGCAAAAUGGUGCCGUAACUUCGGGAGAAGGCACGCUGAUGGUAGGUGAAGUGAUUUACUCAUGGAGCUGAAAUCAGUCGAAGAUACCAGCUGGCUGCAACUGUUUAUUAAAA